AAUCAACGCUGGCGGCGUGCCUAACACAUGCAAGUCGAGCGCGAAUUGGGGGGCAACUCCCAUAGUAGAGCGGCAAACGGGUGAGUAACGCGUGGGUGAUCUACCUUCGAGUGGGGAACAACAUCGGGAAACUGGUGCUAAUACCGCAUGACAUCCUCGGAUCAAUCUGGGGAUCAAAGCUGGGGACCGCAAGGCCUGGCGCUUGAAGACGAGCCCGCGUCCGAUAGCUAGUUGGCGGGGUAAUGGCCCACCAAGGCUUCGAUCGGUAGCCGGCCUGAGAGGGCGGACGGCCACACUGGGACUGAGACACGGCCCAGACUCCUACGGGAGGCAGCAGUGGGGAAUUUUUCGCAAUGGGGGAAACCCUGACGAAGCAACGCCGCGUGGAGGAUGAAGGCCUCGGUC
rnacentral:rRNA from 1 species